rnacentral:lncRNA from 1 species
UAUGAAUCAAGUCUCUACAAAAUCCCAACUUAUUCCAGAUAUUCUUGGCUCAUUGGAGGAUGUGCAGCACAGUCAUCGACACACAUACAUCCCAAGUCGUUAGUCGCAAGAUUUUCAAAACAUACUGCAUCUCCACGGUAUCCCAGGUCCCAGCAUUUCAGAGCGCAAGCUUUGGCGGUGCAGCCACGGUCCAUAACGGUGAAAUCACACACGUCUGCGCUCACCUUAGGCACCAAGUUCUCAACUGAAACGUGUCACAAUGCCCGAGCAUUAAAUUUGCAUGAAUAUACAAGCAACUCAAUAGAAAAAUAAAUUUAUGAUGUAUUUGAUUCAUUAUUGAAAUAAAAAUUAAAAUCAAAAUUGAUUCAAACGCGACGCGAAUCAGAAUGAACAUGAUUCAUGACAUAACUGGUCCGUAUCUAAAAUCGAAAUGGAUAAUUUAAAUCCUUUGAUUUUCUCCUCUUCAAAUCAAAAUGGCACUUCCUCAACUAAAUGGCUGGAACGAGGGUAAAUAAUUUCCAUUCCAAUUUCAGAUACCAACCUUUCCCAACCAAAUAUGUCUCUCAUCUUAUUUCUAUUUUUUUUUUUAUAAAGAUGCAGCGUGGGAAUGGCACCAUCUUGGUUGAACUGAUCUGUCUCCAUUAUAAAUCAUAUUAAACACCAACAAGUCUAAUUAAACCUAAUAUUAUAUCUAUAAGAUAUAAUAUAGCAUGCAACAUAAUGUACAUCUAUAAAAUGGAGUAAAAUAUGCAACAGUAAAAUCUACAAAUUUUUUCACCAACAAAAAAAAGAAAAAGAAAAGCAGCAGAGUCAUAGUUAUCACAAGCUCAUUUUCUUAACUUAAAGUUAUAGCAUUUCCAAAACAAUUUUGAUGGAAAACAAUUUAAUGAAACUUUUGUAGAUCUCAUCUAUUUUUUUAUAUACAUUUUCCUUUGAUCUUCAUCAUUUUCUUCUCAGAAAAGAUGAGAACUUUCCAUUGAACUCAUUUAAUGGAAAAAGUCAUUUGAAUAGUUUUCAAAAACAUCAUAGAAAGAUAAUCUAUGGAUUAGAAGAGCAGUACGUGACCAUAGUUAGAACAAACGUACCCGAGACAACGAGGAGGAAGACCAAAACAAAGAAGGAGAACCUGGCCAUCUCUUGUGCGAGAGACCGUAGCAAGACUAUGUUAAUUGUUCAAGAUUAGCUCUGUUUGUUGUUUUUUUUUU